rnacentral:rRNA from 1 species
UGGUGGAGUGAUUUGUCUGGUUAAUUCCGAUAACGAACGAGACUCUGGCCUACUAAAUAGAUGAUGGAUCUUUGAGUCCAUUAUGUCUUCUUAGAGGGACAAGGCAGCUCCAAGCUGCGUGAAAUGGGGCAAUAACA